rnacentral:RNase_P_RNA from 1 species
AAAUGGAUGCAGCUGCUGGCGGCUUGACCGUUAGAGGAAAGUCCAUGCUCGCACAGCCUGCGAUGGCUGUAGUGUUUGUGCUAGUCGAAUUCAUAAGGCUAGGGUGUCCUUUUGGACAUACGGCUGAAUCAAAGCCUAAAGGCGCAAGCCCAUGGCGGCGAUCUUUAAAAGUGCCACAGAGACGUAGCUUUUUUGGAAACGAAAAAGGUGGAACGGGUAAACCCCUCAAGCGAGAAACCCAAAUUUGGUAGGGGAACUGUCCAAAGUGAAUUGAAGCGGCGGACGGAUGCGAAAGCAUAGAUAAAUUGCUGCACUUACGAAAGUAAGAACAGAACAUGGCUUAUGAUA